AUUGAACGCUGGCGGCAUGCCUUACACAUGCAAGUCGAACGGCAGCACGGGAGCAAUCCUGGUGGCGAGUGGCGAACGGGUGAGUAAUAUAUCGGAACGUGCCCAGUCGUGGGGGAUAACGUAGCGAAAGCUACGCUAAUACCGCAUACGAUCUAUGGAUGAAAGCGGGGGAUCGCAAGACCUCGCGCGAUUGGAGCGGCCGAUAUCAGAUUAGGUAGUUGGUGAGGUAAAGGCUCACCAAGCCGACGAUCUGUAGCUGGUCUGAGAGGACGACCAGCCACACUGGGACUGAGACGGACGGCCCAGACUCCUACGGGAGGCAGCAGUGGGGAAUUUUGGACAAUGGGCGCAAGCCUGAUCCAGCAAUGCCGCGUGCAGGAUGAAGGCCUUCGGGUUGUAAACUGCUUUUGUACGGAACGAAACGGCGAGCUCUAAUACAGUUUGCUAAUGACGGUACCGUAAGAAUAAGCACCGGCUAACUACGUG
rnacentral:rRNA from 1 species